GUGUGUGUUAGUGGAAGCGUCUGGAAAGGCGCGCGAUACAGGGUGACAGCCCCGUACACAAAAAUGCACAUAUUGUGAGCUCGAUGAGUAGGGCGGGACACGUGGUAUCCUGUCUGAAUAUGGGGGGACCAUCCUCCAAGGCUAAAUACUCCUGACUGACCGAUAGUGAACCAGUACCGUGAGGGAAAGGCGAAAAGAACCCCGGCGAGGGGAGUGAAAAAGAACCUGAAACCGUGUACGUACAAGCAGUGGGAGCCUCUUAAUGGGGUGACUGCGUACCUUUUGUAUAAUGGGUCAGCGACUUAUAUUCUGUAGCAAGGUUAACCGAAUAGGGGAGCCGAAGGGAAACCGAGUCUUAACUGGGCGUUAAGUUGCAGGGUAUAGACCCGAAACCCGGUGAUCUAGCCAUGGGCAGGUUGAAGGUUGGGUAACACUAACUGGAGGACCGAACCGACUAAUGUUGAAAAAUUAGCGGAUGACUUGUGGCUGGGGGUGAAAGGCCAAUCAAACCGGGAGAUAGCUGGUUCUCCCCGAAAGCUAUUUAGGUAGCGCCUCGUGAAUUCAUCUCCGGGGGUAGAGCACUGUUUCGGCAAGGGGGUCAUCCCGACUUACCAACCCGAUGCAAACUGCGAAUACCGGAGAAUGUUAUCACGGGAGACACACGGCGGGUGCUAACGUCCGUCGUGAAGAGGGAAACAACCCAGACCGCCAGCUAAGGUCCCAAAGUCAUGGUUAAGUGGGAAACGAUGUGGGAAGGCCCAGACAGCCAGGAUGUUGGCUUAGAAGCAGCCAUCAUUUAAAGAAAGCGUAAUAGCUCACUGGUCGAGUCGGCCUGCGCGGAAGAUGUAACGGGGCUAAACCAUGCACCGAAGCUGCGGCAGCGACGCUUAUGCGUUGUUGGGUAGGGGAGCGUUCUGUAAGCCUGCGAAGGUGUGCUGUGAGGCAUGCUGGAGGUAUCAGAAGUGCGAAUGCUGACAUAAGUAACGAUAAAGCGGGUGAAAAGCCCGCUCGCCGGAAGACCAAGGGUUCCUGUCCAACGUUAAUCGGGGCAGGGUGAGUCGACCCCUAAGGCGAGGCCGAAAGGCGUAGUCGAUGGGAAACAGGUUAAUAUUCCUGUACUUGGUGUUACUGCGAAGGGGGGACGGAGAAGGCUAUGUUGGCCGGGCGACGGUUGUCCCGGUUUAAGCGUGUAGGCUGGUUUUCCAGGCAAAUCCGGAAAAUCAAGGCUGAGGCGUGAUGACGAGGCACUACGGUGCUGAAGCAACAAAUGCCCUGCUUCCAGGAAAAGCCUCUAAGCAUCAGGUAACAUCAAAUCGUACCCCAAACCGACACAGGUGGUCAGGUAGAGAAUACCAAGGCGCUUGAGAGAACUCGGGUGAAGGAACUAGGCAAAAUGGUGCCGUAACUUCGGGAGAAGGCACGCUGAUAUGUAGGUGAAGCGACUUGCUCGUGGAGCUGAAAUCAGUCGAAGAUACCAGCUGGCUGCAACUGUUUAUUAAAAACACAGCACUGUGCAAACACGAAAGUGGACGUAUACGGUGUGACGCCUGCCCGGUGCCGGAAGGUUAAUUGAUGGGGUUAGCGGUAACGCGAAGCUCUUGAUCGAAGCCCCGGUAAACGGCGGCCGUAACUAUAACGGUCCUAAGGUAGCGAAAUUCCUUGUCGGGUAAGUUCCGACCUGCACGAAUGGCGUAAUGAUGGCCAGGCUGUCUCCACCCGAGACUCAGUGAAAUUGAACUCGCUGUGAAGAUGCAGUGUACCCGCGGCAAGACGGAAAGACCCCGUGAACCUUUACUAUAGCUUGACACUGAACAUUGAGCCUUGAUGUGUAGGAUAGGUGGGAGGCUUUGAAGUGUGGACGCCAGUCUGCAUGGAGCCGACCUUGAAAUACCACCCUUUAAUGUUUGAUGUUCUAACGUUGGCCCGUAAUCCGGGUUGCGGACAGUGUCUGGUGGGUAGUUUGACUGGGGCGGUCUCCUCCUAAAGAGUAACGGAGGAGCACGAAGGUUGGCUAAUCCUGGUCGGACAUCAGGAGGUUAGUGCAAUGGCAUAAGCCAGCUUGACUGCGAGCGUGACGGCGCGAGCAGGUGCGAAAGCAGGUCAUAGUGAUCCGGUGGUUCUGAAUGGAAGGGCCAUCGCUCAACGGAUAAAAGGUACUCCGGGGAUAACAGGCUGAUACCGCCCAAGAGUUCAUAUCGACGGCGGUGUUUGGCACCUCGAUGUCGGCUCAUCACAUCCUGGGGCUGAAGUAGGUCCCAAGGGUAUGGCUGUUCGCCAUUUAAAGUGGUACGCGAGCUGGGUUUAGAACGUCGUGAGACAGUUCGGUCCCUAUCUGCCGUGGGCGCUGGAGAACUGAGGGGGGCUGCUCCUAGUACGAGAGGACCGGAGUGGACGCAUCACUGGUGUUCGGGUUGUCAUGCCAAUGGCACUGCCCGGUAGCUAAAUGCGGAAGAGAUAAGUGCUGAAAGCAUCUAAGCACGAAACUUGCCCCGAGAUGAGUUCUCCCUGAGACUUUAAGUCUCCUGAAGGAACGUUGAAGACGACGACGUUGAUAGGCCGGGUGUGUAAGCGCAGCGAUGCGUUGAGCUAACCGGUACUAAUGAACCGUGAGGCUUAACCUU
rnacentral:rRNA from 1 species